rnacentral:rRNA from 1 species
ACACUGUACGAGUUUGAUCAUGGCUCAGAAGAACGCUGGCGGCAGGCCUAACACAUGCAAGUCGAGCGCCCCGCAAGGGGAGCGGCGGACGGGUGAGUAACGCGUGGGAACGUACCCUUUGCUACGGAAUAGCCUCGGGAAACUGGGAGUAAUACCGUAUGUGCCCUUCGGGGGAAAGAUUUAUCGGCAAAGGAUCGGCCCGCGUUGGAUUAGGUAGUUGGUGGGGUAAUGGCCUACCAAGCCGACGAUCCAUAGCUGGUUUGAGAGGAUGAUCAGCCACACUGGGACUGAGACACGGCCCAGACUCCUACGGGAGGCAGCAGUGGGGAAUCUUAGACAAUGGGCGCAAGCCUGAUCUAGCCAUGCCGCGUGAGCGAUGAAGGCCUUAGGGUUGUAAAGCUCUUCAGUGGGGAAGAUAAUGACUGUACCCACAGAAGAAGCCCCGGCUAACUCCGUG